CCUUCAAGGAGAUUAAACGCAAAAGCCUCUGGCCAUGUCUCAUUGUAAUACCCCUUCCUUAGCCUUAAACAGCCUGGGCGGCUCCAACCUCACUAAGCCAUUCCUCAUUCAGCCUUUAAUAGCCUGUUCCCUAUGCAAAUAAGCUAUCCUGCCUGAAACCAAUCAGAAGACCAAAUACCACUCAGCGCUUAUCAAGAGGCGUAGGGGGCUGGGUCAGGAGAUCUUGGGUCUCCACGCAGGUCCGUAGCGUGGGGGAUAUAAGAACAAUCGCAGAGAGAAGGGCCUUCUCUCAAGGUGAGGACAGAGGAAACUGCAAUCUUAUCAUUCUGGAACAAACUAUCACAGGUCUUCUCCCUCCCACCCCAGAAAAUCGACACAUAUUCCUUGAAUAUUUACAAGCUCCUAGAAGUUCCUGCUGUAGUGCAGCAGAUUAAGAAUCCAACUGCAGUGGCUUGGGAGGGCAGCUUUGAUUUCCAGCCCAGGAGCAGUAGCAGGACCAGAGCAAGAAGUUCCCAGGCCAAGGAUGAAACUGUCUUCUUCAGAGACAAUGAUGGAUCUUCAACAUGCUGUGCCACAGCAGGAACUCCAAGGGAGUUGCCGUUCUUCACAGGCUGGUGAAGGAAGGUUUCUCUGAGGCACUGACAGUCACAAAGAAACUUGAGGAUGGUAAUAUACACGUUGGAGGGACUGAAGGAGGCAGGAAGACUACAAAACAACAACCCAAGAGCCACUAAUGUUUCUUUGCACUUAAACUACAAACUGAAAGGUAAGAGACCAUACUUUACAUAAAUACAUAGUUAUGAUUCAGAAGAUUUUCUUUUUAAGUUGCUCUCUGUAAUUGGUUUCCAGUAGCAAUAAUUCUCCCUUUUAUCCACAACCAUACCUCAAUAAAUAUCAUUAAACAAUUUUUUUAAACCUUUUAAUAUUAGAGAAAACUAUCACAAUGUAUUGUGAGCUGACUUUAAAGU